ensembl:miRNA
AUAUAUGAACUGUAGAGAUUGAUCAAAAUAGUUUUUAUCAAAAUAGGUUUGAUCAAUCUCCACAAUUUUAUGUAU